rnacentral:rRNA from 1 species
GACGAACGCUGGCGGCGUGCUUAACACAUGCAAGUCGAACUGUGAACUCCUCUUGCGGGGGGAUUAGUGGCGAACGUGUGAGUAACACGUGCGCAACCUGCCCUCAGCUCUGGGAUAACUCCAUGAAAUUGGGGCUAAUACCGGAUAUGACCGCUGACCGCCUGGUCUGGUGGUGGUAAGAUUGGUCGGCUGGGGAUGUGACGGCGGCCUAUCAGCUUGUUGGUGGGGUAGUGGCCGACCAAUGCGACGACGGGUAGCCGGCCUGCGAGGGUGACCGGACAAAGAGGGAAUGAGAGACGGCCCAGACUACUACGGGAGGCAGCAGUGGGGAAAAUUGCGGAAGGGGCGAAAGCAUGACGCAGCGAAGCAGCGUGAGGGAUGACGGCCUUGGGGUUGGAAACCUCUUUCAGCUGGGAAGAAGCGAAAGUGACGGUACCUGCAGAAGAAGGACCGGCGAACUACGUG